GCCUAAGUUGGUGAUUCCAUGUUCCGCUGCUAGGUGGUAUACUUUUGAUUUGUCCAAUUCGAAAGUCUACCACAUAGCAGAACAUGGACUCAUCAACUGUGGC